AAAAAGAUAAGCUAAUAAAGCUAGAAGGUUCAUACCCUUCUUAUAUAGGUAUUCAGCCCUUUUCUUUUUA
rnacentral:tRNA from 1 species